UCAUGUUAGCCGGGAUGGUCUCAAUCUCCUGACCUUUUGAUCCGCCUGUCUUACCCUCCCAAAGUGCUGGGAUUACAGGUGUGAGCCACUGUGACUGGCAAAGCUGAUGAUUUUUUAUGGCAGUGGCUGCUGCCAUCAUGCUGGCUGCAGCAGGGAGGCACGGCUUUGGCUGCAUACUCCGUAAAGCUGGGGAGUCUUGCCCCUUCUGAGUUGGGAGGAGAGCUCUCUGGGUGCUGCUGCAACUGCCCAACCAGCAACUUCAGACCCAUACCUCCUGCUCUACGGAGCAUGCCGGAGACUCACCAUCCUGGGUAGGGCUACAGCCAUCCAAACUGCAGCUGUGCUCUUUGGGGAGGUCUGGGAGCAGGCAGGAUCUGCCUUCCUGGGUGUGGCUGUGACUGCCUUCUCAGGUGCAGGAGCUGGGUAUCUCUGCAGGCUGCACCCUCAGUGGCCUUAGGAAGGACACUCCCCUAUCCCUCCAAGCUCAGAGGUGUCUUUUCCCACUGCCUGGCUUCUCUCCACUCAUGGUGCCUCCUCUGAUCUUCGAGGGGGUGUUGGGGCCGAGCCCAGGGGCCAUGAAUAGCAGCAGGAGGCAGAUUGAUUUCUGGGUGGAAGGGAGCUGGUCCCCAGUAAGGCCCCACCUUCAGGCCAAGGAAGGUCUGAAGGCUGGGGGCUGGGCUGCCAGUCCUGCAGACUGGCAGACUGGUGGGGGGACUUGUGGUGCCUCUUCUGGGCCUCCCAUGGCCACCCAUGGACGAAUUGGCAUGCACUUCCUUCCCUCUGAGGCCCAUAAAUGCCCAGGGCUCAGCCAGAGUGGGGCAGAGGACGAGCAGGGCAGAGAUGAUGGGAGGACCAGCUUCAGAGAGGAGUACUCGCUCUGCAGAUAGUGGCAGAGACCUGCAGGAAUGUCCAAAUGACCUGCCUGCAGAGAGGAGCUAUCCUCUCCAGGGCCUCUUUUCUGUGGACAGCUGAACACUGGAUGGGAUGACCUGCUUACAAAGAGGAACUAUCCACUCCUCUAAGCUGUUCUAACACUAAAUAAAACUCUUCUUCACCCUUCACUUGUCUGUGUACCUCAUUCCUCCUGGAUGCAGGACAAGAAUUUGGGCAAUGGUGCUGUGGCCACAGAGGUUUCUGGCCAGAAAAGGCAACACCCCAGAGAUCCCGUAACAUUUUGAGAAACUGCAGACAUGGGAGAAGCUGUGAAAACAGAGUAAAAAUUACCCUUUUAUAAGGGAAAUUCAAAGCCAUAAAGGAAAUCUCCAUUUGUAAAGAUGUUUCCUGCUGAGUACCAGAAACAGAAGGAUGAUGCUAAAUCACUGGAAACUCUCAUCAGUGGAGAAGUCAGACAUAUGAUCAGGACUGCCUUUAUCCAUAAGGCUGCUAACCCCUGUGCCAUGAAGAGAAAAGAUAAACACCAGCUGCCAGUCUUUUGGUUGUACAACAAGAAGGCUUGGACAAUGAGAACCCUUUCUGGAUUGGUUCCAUUGAUGCUUUGUCCCUGAAGUUAGGAAAUGUCUUGCCAGUAAGGACUGUCUUUUAAAGUUCUUUUGAUAUUGGACAAUAUUGCUGGCCACCCAGAACCCCAUCAGUUCAACACUGACGGUAUUGAAGUAGUGUACUUGCUCCCAAAUACGUCUCUAAUUCAGCCUCUAGAUCAGGUGGCCAUAAGAACAUUUAAGGCUCAUUACAUGCCACAAUUUAUGGAAUAAAGGAUUGUCAACGUGAUGGAAGAAAACCAAGACAGAGGGAAUAUCACGAAUAUCUGGGAGGAUUACACCAUUAAAGAUGUCAUCAUUGCUACAGAAAAAGCUGUGAAAGCCAUCAAGCCUGAAUCAAUAAAUUCCUGCUGGAGAAAACUGUGUCCAGAUGUUGUGCAUGACUUCGUAGGAUUUAUGACAGAGCCAAUCAAGGAACUCAAAACAGAGAUUGUGGUUGUGGCAGAAAGGUCGGGGGAUGGUGGUGAAGGGUUUCAAGAUACGGAUCUUGGAGAAAUUCAAGAGCUAAUAGAUGCCACAUCGGAGGAAUUAGUAGAAGAUGACUCGAUGGGGAUGAAUGCUUCCAAACCACUGCAA